GAUGAACGCUGGCGGCGUGCCUAAUACAUGCAAGCCGAGCGAACGGACGAGAAGCUUGCUUCUCUGAUGUUAGCGGCGGACGGGUGAGUAACACGUGGAUAACCUACCUAUAAGACUGGGAUAACUUCGGGAAACCGGAGCUAAUACCGGAUAAUAUUUUGAACCGCAUGGUUCAAAAGUGAAAGACGGUCUUGCUGUCACUUAUAGAUGGAUCCGCGCUGCAUUAGCUAGUUGGUAAGGUAACGGCUUACCAAGGCAACGAUGCAUAGCCGACCUGAGAGGGUGAUCGGCCACACUGGAACUGAGACACGGUCCAGACUCCUACGGGAGGCAGCAGUAGGGAAUCUUACGCAAUGGGCGAAAGCCUGACGGAGCAACGCCGCGUGAGUGAUGAAGGUCUUCGGCUCGUAAAACUCUGUUAUUAGGGAAGAACAUAUGUGUAAGUACCUGUGAACAUCUUGACGGUACCUAAUCAGAAAGCCACGGCUAACUACGUG
rnacentral:rRNA from 1 species